AUUGAACGCUGGCGGCAGGCCUAACACAUGCAAGUCGAACGAGCGGCGGACGGGUGAGUAAUGUCUGGGAAACUGCCUGAUGGAGGGGGAUAACUACUGGAAACGGUAGCUAAUACCGCAUACCAUCGGUUGAGCCCUGAUGGGAUUAGCUAGUAGGUGGGGUAAAGGCUCACCUAGGCGACGAUCCCUAGCUGGUCUGAGAGGAUGACCGGCCACACUGGAACUGAGACACGGUCCAGAUUCCUACGGGAGGCAGAAGUGGGGAAUAUGGGACAAUGGGCGCAAGCCUGAUGCAGCAAUGCGGCGUGUAUGAAGAGGGCCUUCGGGUUGUAAAGUACGUUCAGCGGGGAGGCGUUACCCGCAGAAGAAGCACCGGCUAACUCCGUGCCAGCAGCCGCGGUAAUAC
rnacentral:rRNA from 1 species